rnacentral:rRNA from 1 species
UCGUAGCUGAGCGCACCCUGACGUAGCCACGCCGCGUGAGGGAUGAAGGCCUUAGGGUUGUAAAGCUCUUUCAGCUGGGAAGAUAAUGACGGUACCCGCAGAAGAAGCCCCGGCUAACUCCGUGCCAGCAGCCGCGGUAAUUAA